AUGACAGCUCUAGAGACUGGAGUCCUCGCCUUAUCCACAGAACAGGUACAGCACAGUAGGUGGCACGUUGCCUGCCACAAACCUGUCUAAGUGCCAUCCUGGAAGGACUUUAUCUAGGACCGAGAGGGGACUUCUCUCUGAGGCUCAUUAAAUUCUUGGCUUCC
ensembl:misc_RNA